GGGGCUAAGGCCCCGCAUACGGAUGAGCCUGCGGUGCAUUAGCUAGUUGGUGAGGUAACGGCCCACCAAGGCGAUGAUGCAUAGCCGACCUGAGAGGGUGACCGGCCACAUUGGGACUGAGACACGGCCCAAACUCCUACGGGAGGCAGCAGUAGGGAAUUUUCGUCAAUGGGGGGAACCCUGAACGAGCAAUGCCGCGUGAGUGAAGAAGGUCUUCGGAUCGUAAAGCUCUGUUGUAAGAGAAAAACGGACUCCAUAGGGAAUGAUGGAGGAGUGAUGGUAUCUUACCAGAAAGCCACGGCUAACUAC
rnacentral:rRNA from 1 species